GAGGGGAUGGGGGUGGAGGGAAUAGUGGAACGUCUGGAGAUAACGGAGGGGAUGGUGGAGGAGGUGGUGGAACGAUCGGAGACGGAUAAGGAAAUGGUGCAGAAGGAGGUGGAGAGGAUGGUGGAGUAGAUGGCGGAAUGGCUGGAGAUGGAUAAGGAGAUGGCUCGGAAGGUGGUGAAGGGGACGGAGAGGGAGAUGAUGCAGAAGGUGGUGGAGGGGGAUAAGGGGAUGGAGAAGGUGGUGGAACGGCUGAAGAUGGGGGAGAGGGCAGAGGGAAUGGUGGUGGAGGUGGUUGAACAGCCGGAGAUGGAUAAGGAGAUAGUUCAAAAGAUAAUUCCUUC